rnacentral:rRNA from 1 species
GACGAACGCUGGCGGCAUGCCUAAUACAUGCAAGUCGAGCGAACAGAUGAAGUGCUUGCACUUCUGACGUUAGCGGCGAACGGGUGAGUAACACGUAAGGAAUCUACCUAUAAGCGGGGGAUAACAUUCGGAAACGGGUGCUAAUACCGCAUAAUAUCUUCUUCCGCAUGGAAGAAGAUUGAAGGACGGCUCUGCUGUCACUUAUAGAUGACCUUGCGGUGCAUUAGUUAGUUGGUGGGGUAACGGCCUACCAAGACGAUGAUGCAUAGCCGACCUGAGAGGGUGAUCGGCCACAUUGGGACUGAGACACGGCCCAAACUCCUACAGGAGGCAGCAGUAGGGAAUCUUCCGCAAUGGGCGAAAGCCUGACGGAGCAAUGCCGCGUGAGUGAAGAAGGCCUUCGGGUCGUAAAACUCUGUUAUAAGAGAAGAACAAAUUGUAGAGUAACUGCUACAGUCUUGACGGUAUCUUAUCAGAAAGCCACGGCUAACUACGUGCCAGCCGCCGCCGUAA